UGGGGAAUAUUGGACAAUGGGCGCAAGCCUGAUCCAGCCAUGCCGCGUGAGUGAUGAAGGCCCUAGGGUUGUAAAGCUCUUUCGCCAGGGACGAUAAUGACGGUACCUGGAUAAGAAGCCCCGGCUAACUUCGUGCCAGCAGCCGCGGUAAUACGAAGGGGGCUAGCGUUGUUCGGAAUCACUGGGCGUAAAGCGCACGUAGGCGGAUCUUUAAGUCAGGGGUGAAAUCCCGAGGCUCAACCUCGGAACUGCCUUUGAUACUGGAAGUCUCGAGUCCGGGAGAGGUGAGUGGAACUGCGAGUGUAGAGGUGAAAUUCGUAGAUAUUCGCAAGAACACCAGUGGCGAAGGCGGCUCACUGGCCCGGUACUGACGCUGAGGUGCGAAAGCGUGGGGAGCAAAACAGGAUUAGAUACCCUGGUAGUCCACGCCGUAAAACUAUGGAUGCUAGCCGUUGGGCAGCUUGCUGUUCAGUGGCGCAGCUAACGCUUUAAGCACCCGCCUGGGGAGUACGGUCGCAAGAUUAAAACUCAAAUGAA
rnacentral:rRNA from 1 species